rnacentral:rRNA from 1 species
CCUACGGGAGGCAGCAGUGGGGAAUAUUGCACAAUGGGCGCAAGCCUGAUGCAGCCAUGCCGCGUGUAUGAAGAAGGCCUUCGGGUUGUAAAGUACUUUCAGCGAGGAGGAAGGCAUUAAGGUUAAUAACCUUGGUGAUUGACGUUACUCGCAGAAGAAGCACCGGCUAACUCCGUGCCAGCAGCCGCGGUAAUAAUCUCUAGAGG